UACGAAGGGGGCUAGCGUUGUUCGGAUUUACUGGGCGUAAAGCGCACGUAGGCGGAUCGUUAAGUCAGGGGUGAAAUACUGGAGCUCAACUCCAGAACUGCCUUUGAUACUGGCGAUCUUGAGUCCGGAAGAGGUGAGUGGAACUCCUAGUGUAGAGGUGGAAUUCGUAGAUAUUAGGAAGAACACCAGUGGCGAAGGCGGCUCACUGGUCCGGUACUGACGCUGAGGUGCGAAAGCGUGGGGAGCAAACAGG
rnacentral:rRNA from 1 species